AUUCUCUCCGCAGGCGAUCUGCCGCCCGGGUCAGGCCUUUCCGCACCGCAGCUGGUCCUUCACCUCCACCUGCAGCGCCCGAAACCCCCUGUGCUCCUGUGGGGCCAUCUUGGGCCCGGACUGAACUGGGAAAGGGACACACCCUGUCACCAUGGAUGACUGUCAGAUGGAGAGCGAAAUCACGAGGACGGAAAGCCCAAACGGAAGAGGUGUCCUGCGCCAAGGUGCCGCCCUGAGUGGGCCUAACCUCAGCCUACCUGGAACAGCGUGGUGGAGGCUUGCGGGGAGGAUGCACCGAAAAGGCCCAAGAAACCCGUGGCUGCCAUCACAGUCAGCACUACGUCCCGCCAAUGUCCAGGGGACCCCUCUGCAUCCCACCCACCAUCACCCCAAAGUCUUUCCCUUGCGAAGGGGCUCUGGGCUUCAGCUGCUGACUUGACAGAUUUCUUUCCUUUGCUUAGGAAAGGGGUCUCUGUGUCCCUCUCACCUUCUAAGGUUUUGUCCACCUUUGGGUUGGGGAUGGGGAGAAGAGCCCUCUGCUUCUCUGACCUUCUGAGGGCAUUUUCAGCUUCUUGUUCUUGGAUGGGGGA
rnacentral:lncRNA from 1 species